UGAGAGAUGGCUUAGUGGUUAAGAGCACUGGCUGCUCUUCAAGAGGUCCUGAGUUCAAUUCCCAGCAAUCACACAG
rnacentral:tRNA from 1 species